rnacentral:rRNA from 1 species
AGAGUUUGAUCCUGGCUCAGGAUGAACGCUGGCGGUGUGCUUAACACAUGCAAGUCGAGCGAAACACUUUAAAUUAUUCUUCGAAGUAAUUUAAGGUCGUUUAGCGGCAGACGGCUGAGUAAUACAUUGGUACCUACCCUAAAGUGGGGGAUAGCCCAUCGAAAGAUGGGGUAAUCCCGCAUGUGCUCUUCGGAGUAAAGCUUCGGCGCUUUAGGAAGGGCCUUUGUCCUAUCAGUUUGUUGGUGAGGUAAGAGCUCACCAAGACUAUGACGGGUAGCUGGAUCGAGAGGUCGACCAGCCAGACUGGGACUGAGACACGGCCCAGACUCCUACGGGAGGCAGCAGUGAGGAAUUUUCCGCAAUGGGCGCAAGCCUGACGGAGCGACACCGCGUGAAGGAUGACGGUUCUAGGACUGUAAACUUCUUUUAUAUGUGAAGAUUAUGACGGUAACAUAUGAAUAAGCACCGGCUAACUACGUGCCAGCAGCCGCGGUAAUACGUAGGGUGCGAGCGUUAUUCGGAAUUACUGGGCGUAAAGCGUGCGUAGGCGGUUAUGUAAGUUAGAUGUUAAAUCUGCAGGCUCAACUUGUAGGCUGCAUCUAAUACUGCAUAACUCGAGAAUGGAAGAGGCAGAUGGAAUUUCUGGUGGAGCGGUAAAAUGCGUAGAUAUCAGAAGGAACACCAAUGGCGAAGGCAAUCUGCUGGGCCAUUUCUGACGCUAAGGCACGAAAGCGUGGGGAGCGAUCGGGAUUAGAUACCCCGGUAGUCCACGCCGUAAACGAUGGAUACUAGCUUUAUGGAGUAUCGACCCUUUGUGAAGCGAAGCUAACGCGUUAAGUAUCCCGCCUGGGGAGUACGGCCGCAAGGCUAAAACUCAAAGGAAUUGACGGGGACCCGCACAAGCGGUGGAACAUGUGGUUUAAUUCGACGAUAAGCGAAAAACCUCACCAAGGUUUGACAUACCAAUCGUAUCUCUAAGAAACUAGAGAGUCAGUUAGGCUGGAUUGGAUACAGGUGUUGCAUGGCUGUCGUCAGCUCGUGUCGUGAGAUGUCGGGUUAAGUCCUUUAACGAGCGCAACCCUCAUUGCAUGUUAUUUUUUCAUGCGAGACUGCCCUGGUUAACAGGGAGGAAGGUGGGGAUGACGUCAAGUCAGCAUGGCCCUUACACCUUGGGCUACACACGUGUUACAAUGGCCGGUACAGUAGGUUGCAAUAUCGUAAGAUGGAGCUAAUCCUUUAAAACCGGUCUCAGUUCGGAUAGAGGGCUGAAACUCGCCCUCUUGAAGUUGGAAUCGCUAGUAACCGUAAAUCAGCACGUUACGGUGAAUACGUUCCCGGGUCUUGUACACACCGCCCGUCACACCACGAAAGGCAGAGACGCCCGAUACCCUCGUAGAGGUUUAAGGUGGAGCUGCUGAUUGGGGUGAAGUCGUAACAAGGUAUCCGUACUAGUACGAAU